UAUGAUGAAGCCACUGCACUCUAGCCGGGUGGACAGAAGGUGACUGUGUUUCAAAUAAAUAAAUAAGUACACAUAUGUUUGCGGAGGGAUGGCCCUCACACACAGACGGAUGCACACCACCACCAACACGCAGGUGCCGCCACUGGCACGCUCUCACGCUCACGCUCCUGAAGCUUAGUUUUCAUUCAACAGGAGGUUGUUCACACUUCUCAGUCAGUGUGUAUUAUCAGCUUUCACAUUUUCUCCAACUUAUUGUGAAAACUGCAGAUUCCUCAAGUUUGAAGGAAUAGCACAAUGGUCAGCUCGAUGUAACCAUUUUAAUAUUUUGCCAUAUUUACUUUAUGUAUGUAAUAAAUUAUAUUUCUACAACUUCUGCUGAAACACUUGCAAAUUACUUGCCAACAUCAUGAUCUCAUUCUUAAACACUUCAGUACUCAUCUCUUAAAAAAUAACAUUUUUCUUCAACAAUAAUAUUAUACUAAAGAAAAUGACUACAAUCCCCCUAAUAUCACAAAAUGUCAAGGUAAUAUAAAAUUGCAUUAAUUACCCUGCAAACGUGUCCCUUUGGAGGCGAGGAGCCAGGGGCCCUGGGCCGCUCUGAGGUCUCCACCUCCCACCACCCUCCCCGCAGCCCCUGGAGAGAGACACCCUGGAACAUUGAAAGGGAGAAACAUCUUCUACUCCCAUUUCUCCUUUGUUCCCACUGAGACAUCUCAUCUGUUCGCGUGUCUUUUGCCCCUAGAGAAAGAGUCUCAGGGUUUUCCCUCCUGUGUUUUCCGCUCGCUCCAUCGCCGUGGUCUCUGAGGCCAGCUGAGGGUGUCAGGAUAGGGCCACCUUCCACUGAGACCCAACCACCGCCAUCCUCACCUCCAGACACGCCCAGGUGACAGCCUGGCCCUGCUCCACCCUCCUCUUCAGCCUCACCACCGCCAUCCUCACCUCCAGACACGCCCAGGUGACAGCCCACCCUGCUCUGCCCUCCUCUCACAGCCUCACCACCGCCAUCCUCACCUCCAGACAUGUCCCAGGUGACAGCCUGGCCCUGCUCCACCCUCCUCUCACAGCCUCACCACCGCCAUCCUCACCUCCAGACACGCCCAGGUGACAGCCCACCCUGCUCUGCCCUCUUCAGCCUCACCACCGCCAUCCCCUUCAAUACCACCAGGACUGAUCUGUCACGCCCUUUCUCUGUUUGUCUCAGUCACACUUGGUCCCCAAUGCCGAGCACGCGCAUCCGCACGAGGCUCUGCACACCCCCACUCUGCGCCCCACACUCCCCAACUCCAGAAGUCUUUCCACUGCGCCUGGGAACGCUCAGCCCCUGAUCCGCACCGCCAUGGUGCUCUCCGGGGUGUCCCGCACCUCGGCUCCCGCGGACACCUGGGUCUCCCUGAGCACACGGCCCCUCCCUCGUCGUCUGCUGCAUGGGGGUGACUCCCAGGGACCCUGUACCCUGGGCGGGAGGUGGGGAGGGGUCCUUGCUCCUCGCUGUGGUGCUCAGACCUUUCUGCCUCCCUCCCGCCCAGCUCCCCUAACCUGUCCUCAGAUGAGGGCCCCUCCCCUCACUGUCACCAGCCCCUGGGCCCAGGCCCUCCCUCCAUCCGGGCCCCUGUAGCUGCUGGCUCACCAUGCCCCUCCCCAGCAGCGCUCCUGCUUCAUCCUUGCUGAUCUCAACUUACACAGUUGUGUAGGCUGAUAAGCUCCCCAAAGGCGUCCCCUCUCAGUCCUAGGAACCUGAGAAUAUGUGCACUACAUGGCAAAGGGACAUUGCUGAUGCAAGGACUUUAAAAUAGGGAGAUUUUCCUGGACUAUCUGGUUGGGGCCAAUCAAGUCACACAAGCCAUAAAGGCAGAGCGCCUGCUCUGGCCGAGUCACAGAGGCUGCGGCAGAGGAGGGCAGAGGGGGGGCCAGAGGUUCCGAGUGCGGAAGGGCUGCGUGUGUGUAGGGGCCACAUACGAUGACCCAAGAGAGGGCUCGAGGAGCUCGGGUUAGCUCCCGAUGACAGCUACUGAGGAAGUGGGGACCUCAGUCCCACGUCUGCAAGGAAUUCGGACAGUGGCCUGAAGGAUCCCAGAAGGGGGUCCUUCCCCAGAGCCCAGGAAGGAACUUGGACCUGCCGGCACGGGACCUUAGCCCCGUGGGUCCAUGUGGGACGCGCAACCCCGUGACUGAGAGAUGACAAGCAGGUGCCAUUUAAAGCCGCUGGACUGUGGCAGUUUGUCACGGCAGUUUGUCGCGGCAGUCCCCUGGGGUGGGGGCAGCUCUGAGGGCACCGCUGCUGUUGCUGACCGUGUGCUGCACGCAGAUCAGCAAACCCCCCCCCCACCCAGCAUGUACCUGCUCCAGCUUGGAGUCCCCGUACCUCACCUCUUCCCACAGUCCUUGGCCCCCGAGAGUCCCAGGCCAGUGACCCUGCUUUCCUCGCCAUCCCUCAGCCCUGGUGACCUCUCCUCCCCCUCACCCGUUCUGAACUCUGCGGUAAAUAACCCCAAGCCUUCCCUCCUGUCCCCUGCGUUGUCACACUUGCCCGACCACCUGCGCCUGCUGUGCCCGUGAGCUGCAGGAGGCCACGCACACAGCUCACUCGCUGCUCUCUCCCCUAACGGUCCAGACCUCGUGGGGCCCCACCAGGGCCAGCGCUCGUCCUCGCACUGCAAGGGCCACCCUCAGCCUGGUGACUGUCACACACCGUCUCUCUUUGCUCCCACACCCACCCGCCAUCCCCACUCUCACUGCAGCUGCUGGUCUUGUUCCUCCUUCGCUGGGAAAGCCCAGCACAUUAAAAGACAACCUGCAAGGCCCCGCCGCCGUCGGCUCCUGUGUUUGCAGCUGCACCUCGUGCCAGCUGCUGUCACCUGGAUGGCCGUUGAAGGGGACCCAUCGUGCUCCCAGCCAGAGCCAUUGCCUCUGCUGCUGCCCUGCACCUCCUCGCUUCUCAUCGACUCAGGGGAAAUUCUUCCUUCCCUUUUUCUCUCUCUUUUGUCAUCAUCUCCCACCAGGUCGCUGUGGCGUGGCAGGUGCAUAGCCGGGCUCAGCUGGAGGAAGUGGAACUGACGAGGCCCAGCUGCUGCAGCAGGAACCCACGGCCACCUUCGCUCAGGUGAAAGGAGUGUGUGUCCCAUGAUGAGGACAGAUGGCAGCCACCAAGGUGCUGCUCAGAGUCUCUGAUGGGACAGCAGGGACUGGGGAGCAGGAGGCGGAGGGAGUCUGACCCAAUACAGGGUCCUGACGCCAUUCUCAAUGUCUAGACCUCAGCCAAGGUUCAGCUUCAGAACCCAGUGAAGGAGCAGGUGUCCGUAUCCCUGGGAGGAAGGACUCUGGACCCCCAUGGCAAGUAUGUCCUGAACACUUCCCUCAGCCCUUCUAUAGAGGAACCUGCGGCCCUUACUCAGGUGACUGUACCCUGGGGACAGGAACAGGCACGACCGUGAGGAGCACUGCACAUGGGUUUGAGUGGACAUUGAACCCAGAUGCCCCUACAGUGGGGCUUGCAGAGGCUGGGCACGGCACUGACACAUGAUGAAUGUGUCACCACGGGACCAUGGGGUGCACGGAUCCAGCCCUGUCAUUUCUCACUCCCGAGAGCAUAACUGGCACUGACACACUGGAGUCACCCACACCGGUCCCUGGUCUGUGCAGCAAGGAGUGUCAUUGUGCAGAAGGCCAGAGGGACACCAGUGACACUGCCACCCUCCCAGCCCAAGCAGGAGCUCAUGGUGUCGGGGAGGGUGCUCUGGGGGACACUGUGGGUGUGGCGGGGCAGCAGCACCACAGAGCCACAGGGUGCGGGCGGUGUUGGGGUUGUCUGUUAACCCAGGUUAAUUCCGUGAGAUUUCUCCAUGUUCGUGCUGGCUGGGUGUCACUGCGGAGCAGACGGAUAAGGCCCCAUGGGGCGGCAGCUGUGGAUUGCGUGAGUGCAUUCUCUUCCACUCCAGCUAGCAAAUGGGUGAGGAACGAGUCGCGGUCAUGUGGGAGGCACAGCGCAUGUAUUCACAGUUCACCCCAGGACUACGGUGACUCCCUUGCCCUCGAAGGUACAGUCUUUAGGGACCUGGACGUCCUGCCUGUCCUGCAGAACAUUGAAUCUGCUCAUUUCUUUGGCAGCAUCGUGUUGACUGGGAGGGAGGAGGAGGAGGUGGGAAGUUCGCUGGAGGCCUUGACAAACGUGUGCUCGCUGGGAGGUGAGGCUGAGCCCUGCGGAGAGUCAGGAGUGGCCACUGCAGGGAAGCUGUGUGGGUCCAGCGGUGGGGGACAGGCAGGGUGUCUCCUCCAGAGUGAAAGGCAGUGGCUGCGUCUGGCGUCCUCCCUGCAAAGCAGGAGGCUCACUGCCCAGGAGCCUCUGUGGGGUCUGACGUUCCACAUCUGUGAUGUGUCGGCCGCACUCUGGGUGACACAGGAGGACGCCAGCCUUGAGGGGCGCUGGACAGGAGAGGACACUGCAGCGGAUGCAGGCCGUGGUGCAGCGGCCCCAUCCCUCAGCCCCACGGCGGGGGCGGGGGCGGGAGCAGGACGGAGCCAGACCUGGCUCCCGGGGGCUGCAGUGCAGGGCCUGGGACUCUGGAGCAGGGCCAGGCCACCACAGCAGACACAUGUGCCCUGUUAGAAGCAACCUUUGCUGUGCCACUGGCCCUGAUAAGAUAGAAUGCUUGACCACGGGACACCAAGCCACCUUGUGACUCCAAGUGCCCAUGUGACUUGGGUUCUGUGUAACCCACGAAGUCAUACACUGGACAGUCCCAGCAGGGUCCAUCACAAGGAGGAAUGGUCCAUGUGGGUUGGGCCUGAAUCCCAUGUGGACACCCACCAGCAAACACCCUCCCUGCAGUGGCCCCGAGCACCGAGCAGACAGACUGCAGUCAGGCAGCCUUCGCCUCGGUCAGCCCAGGGCUGGCAGGACGGCCGUGGAUGGAGGGCACGACGGCAGGGGCACUGGGUGUGGCCCAGCAGCAUUGGCUCCAGCUACUAAAGCCUGUCCAGCUGCUGCCACUUCUGAUGUCUGACUUGUCACCAUUAGAGACAAAUGAUGGGCUCUGAUGGAGCCCUAUUUCUUUAGGAGACCAACUAGCCACUAAGUGAGUUGACUACAUUGAGCUCCUUCAAUCCUGGAAGGGCCGGGGCUCAUCCUUGCAGGACAGACGCCUAUUCCACGGGUGGGCUUUCCUCUCCUGCCCUCGGACCCUCAGGCAGCUCCACCACCCGGGGCUGUUGGCAUUUCUGAUCCGCAGGCUCGGAAUUGCUCUCGGCACAGCACCCCACUGGGGCACCCACUGCACAGGGCAGGCGGUGCAGCCUGGCCCGUGGCCGCGGGACCCCCUGCUCAGGCCACAGCCUGCGCCACCCGGGGCUGCCGGCCACUCAGCAGCCUGCUCGGGCCUUGUAAAGGCUCAGCUCAGUGCCCGCCUCGAGGACGCACUCUGAGGCGGGCGCCAUCCUUCAGGACACAGUGCGCUCACGGAGCCAGAGCCUCUCUCGGGUGUGUGUUCUCGGCAGGAAGGACUCUUGGGCUCAGAAGCCAAGGGGUGGAAGCGGGAGCUGCUCCGUGUGCCGUCGCUGAGACGCACCCACUGGGAUUUGCACUUCCCAUCUCUGAGCUCUGGCUCUGCAGGGUGGCAGGCCCUGUUUCCCGCGAGGCCAUCGGACUAGGGGGCAAAUGAGAGCCACUGAGCUGCACUUUCCAGUUGCCACCAGGGCAGUUUGGACAGCGCGUGCCCAGAGACCAGCAGGUGAGAAGAGGAGCCCGUCCCCUCCAGGCAGGGAGGGACCCUGACCCCCAGGAGGAGGCAGGGCUGCUCCACACAGAGGGCAGGAGGAGACUGUGUGGAACCCAGGGACCCACCUGGGGCUUCGGCAUCCCCUCGUCCCAUUCAGAGAGAUUUCUCAUUGCCACUGGUGAAAGGUCACGUUACUUGGGCAUCCCUGGCGACAAAGAAUACGGCGUCAGCAGUGAUGAUCUUUUCUCCUUACCUUACUGCCCAGGUAAGACCCUGGUGGUUGGAGCAUCUAUGUCACUUUGGAAUGUGCUGGAUUUCUUUCUGGUAUUUGUUUAGAUGUCACUGUUAUGGUACGGUCCAUUCUUCUUAGAGGAUUUGACCAGGACAUGGCCAACAAAAUUGGUGAACACAUGGAAGAACAUGGUGUCAAGUUUAUAAGACAAUUUGUACCAAUCAAAGCUGAACAAAUUGAAGCUGGGACACCAGGCCGACUCAGGGCGGCAGCUCAGUCCACACUAGUGAGGAAACCAUCGAAGGAGAGUAUAAUACGGUGUUGCUGGCAAUAGGAAGAGAUCCUUGCACAAGAAAAAUUGGCUUAGAAACUGUGGGAAUGAAGAUAAAUGAAAAGACUGGAAAAAUACCUGUCGCAGAUGAAGAGCAGACCAAUGUGCCUUAGUCUGUGCCACCGGCGAUGUGUUGGAGGACGAACUGGAGCUCACCCCAGCCGCAGUCCAGGCAGGAAGACUGCUGGCUCAGAGGCUUUAUGCAGGUUCCACUGUCAAAUGUGACUAUGAAAAUAUUCCAACAACUGUAUUUACUCCAUUGGAAUAUGGUGUUUGUGGCCUUUCUGAAGAGAAAGCUGUGGAGAAAUUUGGGGAAGAAAAUAUUGAGGUUUACCAUAGUUACUUUUGCCCAUUGGAAUGGACAGUUCCAUCAAGAGAUAACAACAAAUGUUAUGCAAAAAUAGUCUGCAAUAUGAAAGACAGUGAACGUGUUGUGGGAUUUCACGUACUGGGUCCAAAUGCUGGAGAAGUUACACAAGGCUUUGCAGCUGCACUCAAAUGUGGACUGACCAAAA